rnacentral:lncRNA from 1 species
CCAUGAAUGCGAGGCCAAACUCUAGGUUGGGGUUUCUCUCUUCACGGCGCCGCUGCCCUAGUCGCCGCCCAAGGCGUUGCCAGAGNCGCCGUUCACCGUNGGCGCCCUUGCCGGCCAGAGCCCAAAGCUACCCUUCUCUCCCUCUGAUCCAACGCGACCCAGAAGUAGGGGUUAUCAUCUCCAUUUCGGCGAAGCAAAUGGCCACCGUUAAUUUCUAUUUUCCCUUUUGCUUCAUGCUCUGAUUGGGUUCAACUGUUGGGGUUUGAUUUCUAUUUUUUUGUGAUUUGGUUCAUUGUAGGUUGAGGGUAGGGGUCAUGAUAUGUGAAUAGAGAUAGGAAAUAUGGUGGAGAUGGAGGUUAUGAAGUGAGGUUCUGUUUCUGUUUUGGUUCUCUGUUUUUGGUUGGUCAUACAACAAUGGUGGAAUGGUUGUUGGUGUUGACAGAGAAUGGAGAGGGAUUGGGCGGAGGCUAUCCAGUGAGUGGUUGAAGCAAUGAAGCGUAGUCGAUGAUGAUGAAUACCGCGGUGGUGAUGAGGAUGAAGGUGUGGAUUGUGUGUGUUGCGUGAUAGUUACCUGAUGAAGGAAUUGGUUUCUGAGAGUCUUUCUAUUGAGUAAAAUGGAGGAAUGAAUGGAUNNAGGUAGUUUUUUCUUGAGCAUAGCAGAGGGAUNGAGCCAAAAAGGGUGGUGUCGUGUGUGUCAUCAAUUCUGUUGGGUCCUGAGGUGUAG